AUCUGGAUUUCUUCUUAUGCCAAGAUUGAACAAGCAUGAUGGUCGCUACAGUAAUCCCCAACCGUAUGGAGUUCGCUCCCUUGUGCUCCUCGGCUCCACCGAGUUUCUUCCAUCGAUUUGCCAUCGUUCUAAUAUUCUGUCGUUUGAGGUUCGUCUCCUAGCAUAUAUGUCCUUCUUGCCUGUAUUUUUGGUUGGCAAAGUGGCCACGUGAAUAAGUUGAUUAAUUAUAUAUAUUUGUGUCAUUACAUUUACCAGGACCAUGCUGAAUACAUUUGAAUUUAAUUCAUGGAACUAUGGGCAAUCUGAAGAUUUUCUUCAUGGCAAAGGAGGUACAGCAGUAAUGUAAUUUUGUAGUCACCCCUACGAAGGCAAUGGUUGAUAACAAGCUGAAGCAAUGAACAUGGUAACUUUCAAGAAUAGUUAUUUACUACCUAUCAUCUAUGUAUACCACAUUGUGAUUCAACCUAUGUGGGCUUUACAUAUAUCUAAGAUUGCUUCGCAGCUAGCUGUGUUACAGUUCAAAAAUGACUAUGCGUCAGCAUGUCAGGUGCUACAUUGUUUUCCCCAUUCUGAAUAUUCCACUUUUCUCAAACUGUGUUAUAUGCAAUCAAAAUAGUUUGUUCAUGCCAUCUCAUUGUUUGGCAUUUCACUUUUGCUUAUCAUCCGUUGAGAUGGAGGAUAGUAUAGCUGGCUAGGAGGAUCAAUGGAUAGCCAAAAAAAUAUCGCUUCAAGUGAAAUGAGCAGUCCUUUUUAUUUCAGCCAUUAUGUUAUUUCCUUCCGCCAGGUCUGUUUCACCUUUUGGGCGCCUCAUUUUUAUUUGCAGUCAUUGCUAAGAAGGCAACAGUUCAAACUGAAGCAAUGAACAAGGUAAGCUUUAGGCUUUGGUUCAGGUUCGUGCUACUACCCCCUGUUCCAAAAUAAGUGUUACAACUUCUUCUAGAUACAUUGACACUUAUUUUGGAAUGGAGGGAAUAAAUUGGAACCCACCUGGUUCUUAUUAUCAUCUACUUCGGUGUACAACACAGAUUGUGGAGGUCUAUAUUCAAGUUGUUAUCCAUGGUCUGAGAAAAAUUUACAUGUAAUUUAAAGAGAUAGAUGGACCACUGUUAAAUAGAUAAAGUAGUUCAAUUUAUCCCUAUAUGGUUACCACCUGAGCCAUUUCAUUUGGUCUAGCCUGAAAAUAGUACUGUUUGCAAAAUCUUAUCACCGAAAGCGUGUGAAUGCCUAAAGGAAAUGUACUUGAGUCUAAUUUGAAAAGAGAAUUUCCUUGCCAUUUUUCAAUAGUAUGAAGGUGUUAUUAGUAUAAUUAUUUUCAAGAGUACUUGCCAGCUUUGUGAUACUUUCUAAGUUUUUAAUCGCAGAAAUAAACACGCAUAGAGCCUAUCUGUUUGUUUAAAAUGCCUGGUGUUUUCUUCAUAAUAAUUUUGUUGUACUGAGAUGGACAUGCUUAUGUCUAUUUUUGCAGGCAUUGAGCUGAUCCAGAGUACUGACAUUGUAAAGGCUAUCCUUGCCUGCAAGAUCAUAACUACAGUUUGCUUUUCAGGUUUGAAGUUCAGGGUUUUCCCUUUCUCAUGUUAUUGUAGUCUUUCUCGGUAAGACUUGCAGUCCGCAUUGCUCAUCAAUUCGUAGUGGCUUAGGCUGGACAUUCAUUUCAGUCAAGUACAUUUCAGGUGAGACCAUGAGGGCAUGCGGUGAUGAAUGUGAUGGUAUUUCAGCUUAUAUGCUUGUGCCAUGCUUGCAUUAUGAGCAUUGGUUUGUUGCUUAAUUCUCACACAUCUGAUUCUAUGCCUCUUAGUAUUACUGUAAUCUUCCCAUGCAUCUUACUUGCAUCCAGUACUGAUGUACAGUUCAGUUUAGUACAUCUAUUGUGUUCACAAUGCUUUGCUAUUUAACGUUGAGUGCUAUAAAAAAUUCUAUAAUACUGCAAUUACCUAUGAAGAAGUUGCUAUAAUGUUCCAGGUUUCUAUCUUCAAGUAAUUUACAUGAGUUUGAGAGAAUUAGUAUAGUUUGAUUAAGCUGUGUUUUAGUUCUUUAGCAUCUGAUUGAGGAACUAUCUGAAUAGAAAAUUAGUAAAGUACUGUAAUUGUGUUCUAAGUUGUUGUGCACUACUUCCUCAAAAUUAGUGAGCUUGGCAUUAAUGAACAUUACCCUGUAUAAUUCUUUUUGUUCUGUUUGGCCAUGAACAUGAGAUAUUUGAGUUAAGUUCAGAAACGACAUACUUUCACAUAAAUCUCUUAUGGGAUCCUUCUAUUUUCCAAAAUGUAUGUAUACUUCAAAUAUUACCGUUGGAGGUGCUCACGUGUCACGUCGUAAGCCGUUCUCAUAUAUUAUUUUACUUUAUAUAUUUAGUUUGAGCAGAGAUGAACACUAUAGAUUUAGAUUUGCUCAACUAAGUUGACCAGUUGGGUGGUGCUUUGCUCAAUAUUUUAGAACUGGUCACUGUUUUACAUCCUAUGCUUAGGUAAUGUUAUUCUAGCUUCAGUCUGAAAACAGAUUGCACACUUCUAUUCCAAUGUGGGUUGCUACUUGGUUUUCCUUAGCUAGGUGUGGAAUGCUAUUGUCGCUCAUUCGAAGCUGCUUGUGUAUCUCGUCAUACAGGAACACCGGGCCUGUUCUGAGACGACAUUGGUCCCAAAAGUGCAAGUUCUUGGAGGUUCAAUGGGGGCUUAUGGUUGGUCUUAUCGCAGCUCUGGACAUGAGCCUAAUGUUCGGUUAUCUUAAGAGUAUAAACCUCAAAUCUAAUAGGGAUAGAUCAUCUAAAGGCAAACCCGUCAUCAUGUGGGAUUUUUUGUGACUGAAACUAAUGGUGCAUUAAUAUAUCAUUAAACUAUGGCCAGUCAGCCAUUUCUUGGGUAUACUAAAAGUUUUAGUCUGGCUCAGUUUAGCGAUGGCCUUAAUGGAGCUUUGUUGAUGGUCUUUUUGGAUAUCUGAAUUACUUCUGAGUGAUGAGCGAUAAGUUUUUGUCCAUGCUACAAAAAGAAGAAAAGGUAAAUUACUUCAUAGCAUGCCUUUUUUUAGUCUGUGUUCAACUGCAAGGUCUUUUACCCUCACCUGAUAAAAAUUGGAGGUUGCAUGUUUUAUAAAAGUGUGCCAUGGUUAUUUGAGAAGAUUUGGUAGUCAAAAGGAAUCUGGCGUGGUUCUACUACUUUCUAGAUUUAGGUUUUAUUAUCUUUUUGUUGCAUUUCUUUCCGUACUUGU